CUAUGUAAUGCAAAUUGCAUGUACUCGGCAUGUUCCAUGACUUGAUGGGAAGUCAAUAUUAGCCAAUUGACCUAACGGUUUUCCGGGCAGCGCCCUUAAAAGAAUGUUUAUGAACCUGGGAAGUUCAUAUUAAUAGCCUGAUUACUUGAAACAUAGUACACUUAGUUUCACACAGUAUGGCAUAUUGUGUUGUUUCGGGGAGCAAAUCUGGAUAUAAAGUGAAUCAUAAAAAAGCAUUUCGUUCUAUGUGCCAAAAGAUACCAAUCUCCGGAAAUAAUAGUCGGUCUUAUGCCACCUUUACUCGGUUAAUUGAAUUUCCUAUACGCGUAAUUCCAAAAUUAAUCAUUUAAUUAAAAAAAAAAAUUUUUUUUAUGCAUUUUCAUGUAGAAGAAGGAAAAGAUAAUGGAAGGAAAAAAAUAAAUAUUUUUUUGGGGCAUGUCAAUUAGAGAGAAGUGCUACUCCAUGCCAAUUUUGGUGGAACAAAAUUUACGAGAAAUUUGAUGAUUCACAUAGCACAGCAGCGGACCAUCAAGUUGACAAGAUACUUAAAGUCGCAAUAAUACCGUCAUGUGAAAUGCAGUUAUCUGUUCCAGUCGUCUAAUCGUCGAAUGGAAGAGACAUUAUACAUCAGUGUGAUCACUACGAAAAUGUGAAGAAAGUUUUAAAGGCCAAAGAAAAAGAAAUUCUUCUACAUGUACUACUAGUAGCAAUCAUUUGAAAUUGAAGCGAGUGGAUGGAGCCGACGUCAUGGCUCAAUUACAAUAAUUGAAGAAAAAUAAUAAAGAAAUUCACAUAAAAAAUGAAAAAUUACAAGAGGCAAAUGAUCAACUAAAAGCAUCAUUAACUGAGCUACAUAAUGAAAUAUCAUUAAUUAAUCAUGCAGUAUAAAAUUCUCAAUAACAACAACAAUAAUACAUCAGAAGAGCAGCAAAACAUUAUAAGAGAAAGUUUUAACACUUCUAAAUGUAAUCACCAAAAUGGUGAAAGGUACUCAGAGUAUUGAAUAUAUUUAUGUAUUCUCAUGCACAUGAAAUCUUCAACUACAUACCGAUUUAUCCGAGAGAAUGAUAUAUCACCAUUACCAUGACCAAGUACAACAAGAGAGUAUGUAGAUCAUCGACAUUUUCUCAUUUUCAACAUCCAAUUGAUGAGAAUCAAAAGAUAUAUGUAUUUUCCGACACACCACAUUUGAUAAAAACAUGCAGGAAUCGUCUUUACACUAAAGAGUCGUUAAAGGCUUUCAGAUUAAUCAAUCCAAAGUAGCCUUCAUAAAUUGGGAACAUUUUAACAUGGAUCAUGAAGUUGAAAGAUUGAAGACUAUUAAUAACCGUGUCAUUCAAAAAAUAACCGAGAAUCAUUUGAUAUUAAACAAUUCCUCGAAGAUGCGAGUCCGAUCAGCACUUCAGGUACACAUUAACACAGUGACUUUUUACCAAAAUCAAAGAAUUCAUGAUGACAUCACGUAAUAAUUAAAUUUGACUAUAAUUGGUGUUGACCAUGUCUACAGCAAGAGAAUUGAGGACAUAUCAGAGCUAUUUUGUAAACGAAGAUUUCAGUGGAAUAAUUGAAUUUUGUGUAUGGAUCAACAAACUGUUCGACUGUCUCAACGAAAAUCAUCAUGAAAUUAAACCUGAUGAUAACAAAUUUUCAAUCAUUAACGAAGCUUUGAUGACUCUAAACAAUUGGGAAAGUAAUGUUAAAAAUCAGACUAUUGAUAAACAUAUCUUUCUGACUACAAACGGACGAUCCAAAAAAGACUCUUUGGAGGUAUAAUGAGAGAUAAUUGUAUUAUUACAACAUCUUAAAUAGGAGUUACCAGGACAAAUGUGCAUUACAUGACUUUUGGAGAUUUUUCGAGACUGUGCGACAAGCAGAAGGAGCAAAUGAUCAUCCCGCGACCUCAACUUUUCUGCAAAUAUACAGAAUAUUAUCACCUCAUAGUGUUUUAAGAGCUCCGAAACCAGGAAAAGCUGUCAACAAUAAGGAGUGGUAAGCAGAAGAUGCUUUAGAAGAGCACGAUUACUAUUUACCAAACUUGUCAAAUUCUGUUUUGUAUUAUUGUACAGAAGUCAUAUUGGCAAAAAUUUUAAAAUUAACCAACUGCGAAAAAUGACAUAAUGCCGUACGGAAUGCUAAACCAACAGCAUUCAUUGCGGAGUCAUAUAUCGUGAUUAAUCAAACAGCAGAUGAAUGUUUUAACCACCCAAAUGUAGAAACCGAUAAGGUAACAAAUUUUAUACAGGAGGAUAUAGUGAAUGUGUUCUGACUUGGAGGGGCCCAAG